rnacentral:rRNA from 1 species
CUGUUGUAGAGUGAAACCGCGAAUGGCUCAUUAAAUCGGUUAUGGUUCCUUGGACCCAAAAUUUUACUUGGAUAACUGUGGUAAUUCUAGAGCUAAUACAUGCAUUUCAGUCGUGACCCGAAAGGGGAAGGACGCUUUUAUUAGAUCAAAGCCAAUCGGCCGGUUCGCCCGGUCGUUCCGUUUUGGUGACUCUGGAUAACCUUGGGCUGAUCGCACGGUCUCCGCGCCGGCGACAUGUCCUUCAAAUGUCUGCCUUAUCAACUGACGAUGGUAGGUUUUGCGCCUACCAUGGUUGUAACGGGUGACGGGGAAUCAGGGUUCGAUUCCGGAGAGGGAGCCUGAGAAACGGCUACCACAUCCAAGGAAGGCAGCAGGCGCGCAAAUUACCCACUCCCGGCACGGGGAGGUAGUGACGAAAAAUAACGAUACGGGACUCAUCCGAGGCCCCGUAAUCGGAAUGAGAACAUUUUAAAUCUCUUAACGAUUACCCAUUAGAGGGCCAGUCUGGUGCCAGCAGCCGCGGUAAUUCCAGCUCUAAUAGCGUAUAUUAAAAUUG